rnacentral:rRNA from 1 species
GAUGAACGCUAGCGGCAGGCUUAAUACAUGCAAGUCGUGGGGCAGCAGGGGUGUAGCAAUACACUCGCUGGCGACCGGCAAACGGGUGCGGAACACGUACGCAACUUACCCAUAACUCAGGAAUAGCCUUUCGAAAGAAAGAUUAAUACCUGAUAGCACUUAAGAAAGGCAUCUUUUUUAAGUUAAAGAUUUAUCGGUUAUGGAUGGGGAUGCGUUCCAUUAGAUAGUUGGUGAGGUAACGGCUCACCAAGUCUUCGAUGGAUAGGGGUUCUGAGAGGAAGGUCCCCCACAUUGGUACUGAGACACGGACCAAACUCCUACGGGAGGCAGCAGUGAGGAAUAUUGGUCAAUGGGCGAGAGCCUGAACCAGCCAAGUAGCGUGAAGGAUGAAGGUCCUAUGGAUUGUAGACUUCUUUUAUAGUAGAAUAAAGUGAGCCACGUGUGGUUUUUUGUAUGUAUACUAUGAAUAAGGAUCGGCUAACUCCGUGCCAGCAGCCGCCGUAAAAC